rnacentral:lncRNA from 1 species
GUCUCCUGCACGUAUCAAAACCCAUUAACAAACAGCCACAAUCCGUGCCCUGGGGAAGCAGAGCAAGCUGCUUUUCUUUUUCUUGGCUGGCUCAGCCCGUGCUGGAGUUGUGGGACUUUUCAUCUGUGCACUCAAGAGGAGCGGAGUAAAAGUAGGAUGAUAAAUUGUGGAAAAAAAAGAAACUCGCUGGCUUUGCUCAGAACCUCUGGCCUGCAGCUCCUCCUCUCGCUGUACUCCUUCCAGCACCCCAGAAUUCCCUGCCUCCCUGCAUGUUAUGGCACCUUUGGGAUGUGUUAGUCAUAAGCAUGAAGCUACUGGUGCUUUGCAGGGAUAUUUUCACUCUGGCUCUGGCAGGAGAGCUCUGACACAGCCCUGCUGUCGGCAGCGCUCGCUCAACGACGCCUCCUGAGAUCCCAAAACUCCAAAAAAAAAAGGGGGAAACGGCCAAUUUUCAUUUCCUCAGGGAACAAUGAGAAAAUUUGUCUUUCUGAGCCUAUCUCCUUCUGAAAUGAGCUCCAGGAGUAGUCACAACCUGCCAUAAAAAUGCCAUGUGCAAGAGAAUAUAUUUAAUAUGGGGCAGGCAGAAUGGAACGAUACGAUCUGUUUGGGGUUUGAAGCACCAAGGUUCUGACUCUGCUCCUUGGGAACCUUCCUCAUCCAGAUCACAGGGAUUUCCAAAAUUGCAGCAUUCCCUCAAAGCUGAAAAUAAAUCUCCAGAAAUCUCUUGGAAAACUGAAGAUGAAUCUCCAAAAACCUCCUCCAAAGCUGAUGAUCACUACCAUUACUGAGCGGAAUGCCAGCUGCUGAUGGCCCUCACAGGGACAGACCCAAAAGGAGACCAAGCUGCACAAAGAGAACCAGCAGAGUCUUGGAUCAGGGUUCUGCUGGUGGCUUUGGUGUCACUUCCACUCUCACCAGCCCUGCCAGG